UACGUAGGGGUCAAGCGUUGUCCGGAUUUAUUGGGCGUAAAGAGCGUGUAGGCGGCCUGACAGGUCUGCUGUGAAAACUCGAGGCUCAACCUCGAGAUGUCGGCGGAAACCGUCUGGCUAGAGUCCGGAAGAGGAGAGUGGAAUUCCUGGUGUAGCGGUGAAAUGCGCAGAUAUCAGGAGGAACACCGGUGGUGUAAACGGCUCUCUGGACCGUAACUGACGCUGAGGCACGAAAGCGUGGGUAGCAAGCAGG
rnacentral:rRNA from 1 species